GUGAGUUUAGCUCAGUUGGUAAGGACAGUGCAUAAUACAUGCAAGGUCCGGGGUUCGAAUCCCGGACACCACA
rnacentral:tRNA from 1 species